rnacentral:rRNA from 1 species
UACGUAGGGGGCUAGCGUUGUCCGGAUUUAUUGGGCGUAAAGAGCGUGUAGGCGGCCAGGUAGGUCUGGUGUGAAAACUCGAGGCUUAACCUCGAGAUGUCAUCGGAAACCAUCUGGCUAGAGUCCGGAAGAGGAGAGUGGAAUUCCUGGUGUAGCGGUGAAAUGCGCAGAUAUCAGGAAGAACACCAAUGGCGAAGGCAGCACUCUGGGACGUGACUGACGCUGAGACGCGAAAGCGUGGGGAGCAAACAGG